CAAACGCUUUAUGCAGGCUCAUCGUGUUUUCUAACUGGAUCAGCACCUUUUUACAAACUGAGACAUGAACGCUCGUUCAAAUCAAGCAUCACUUGUAUAUAAACAGAAAGGAGAGACUAGAGGGAACAUCAUGGGUCGCUCCGACACAAACACAAGCGUCUUCCCCGCUACAAUGACCCCCUUGUAUCUGUGCCAUGCGACACACACACACACCGGCCCCCAAUCCAAAAUUCACCACGUUUUUCAUUAGCAAUGAAUGUGGACUCUGAUAAGAGAGGCCCUAACAAUGAUGUGCCUCUUUUAUUCCUCCACUCUCCCCUCCUUUUCUUUGCAUUUGUUUCCAUCUCAGGUGAAUUCUAAUCAUGUGAUCAAAAACGAGCACCCCCUUCCCCAUGUUAAAAGAGGAAAAAAUGAACAAAAAGAAGUUUUGUGUAAAGCAAUGGAAGAAAAAAAAAGACGGAAUGGAAAUAGUAAAAAAGGCUUGUGUUUUGUCUUGCAUUGCCACUCAAUCCUGACACGGAGAGACAGACCCUCCGGGAGGACGGCGGCUUGGCCCGGGGAGCUACGCUGGGACAGUCGGCCUCGCGGUGCUGUGAAGCGGGGAGCCGUCGGAGCGCCGCUCCGGGAGUUUGAGCCAGGAUGGAGCUGAGGAUGAGCGGCUCGGCCUCGAUUUGCUAUCUACUUUGUGUUUCAAAGGCCUACGAAGACAGUUUGUUUUAAAGGUGCUACUCAAAUAUCACAGGAAUGACACAUGAGAUUUAACUUUAUGCAACAUUAUGCAGACUCUUUGUCUGCAUGGAAUAUUCCCUCUCCUCAGYAUGCUGGAUGCUUGAAGUGGCUCACGCAGGUGGCAGCUACAAAAUGUUCCUGUUGCACGGUGGAAGUCCUGGUGGAUUCUGCAUGACCCGAUCCUGCCGCUGCAAACGACCCCCAAACCAUGACUCUUCCACCUCCGUGCUUCACAGUUGAGUGGCUCAUCCAAAGUAACCUGUCUCUCCCGGAGGAUUACCUGCUGGGAAGGUGAGUUCAGUUUAGCGAUCUGAGACGGAUUGCUGUCAUGAGAUUACGGGAUUAGAUUUGAAUCAGUGUCAGUCUGACAACCUAUUUCGUCAGUGACACAUGUUUAUGUCACUUCCAUAUGUAGGUAAAUGGCAAAACUCCCAGCUGAUCAUCCAUUUACCCACUGACACAUAAUCGAUAUGGUUGGGGAAAUACUCCAUUAGCGAAGUCAGCGAUUACUCGGUUGGCUCACCCAUACAAAACCCAGAGACAGAAGACGUAAAUAAUCAGAACCUCGUGGGUAUAGAACAUUUUAGACCCGGUUAUGCUGAACUUUCUGUGUUAACAUGGUGAAUCCGUUUCAGCUGAGUAACUGUUGUAGAUCUCUGCCUGCCUACAUGCAGAAUAAUUUAGGGUGGCCUUGGCCUUUCUGAAGAUCCUCUUGCUGUAAAUACCCCUGAGCUGGGGCUGACUCACCCGGCCAAGCCAUAUUAACAAGCCCUCUAUAUUCUCACAGUACGAUGUGAGACAACCACAGCUGCAGUAGGAAGGUUUAUAACAACUAAAAACAACCUACAGUCAGUCAGACAAAGCCUGAAGGUGGAGGUUGUUUCUACCCAUAUGGAGGCU